UCGGUCUGGGGAAAGGCUCCUGUGUGGUUGAGCCUACCCGAGGUGGGCGCAGCCUCGUACCAGAAAGCCCGACCUUGACCUAAAGUAAAUUCCCAGAGGAAAAUCUUCCCUGGGGCGAGAAUUUGCAGUACCAGGUGUGGACAUCCUAGCAGCAGUUUGGUGAUCAUGUAUGAUACUGCAAACAGGC
ensembl:scaRNA